rnacentral:rRNA from 1 species
AUGCAACGCGAAGAACCUUACCAAGGCUUGACAUACACCGGUAACGCCCAGAGAUGGGUGCCCCUUUGUGGUCGGUGGACAGGUGGUGCAUGGUUGUCGUCAGCUCGUGUCGUGAGAUGUUGGGUUAAGUCCCGCAACGAGCGCAACCCUCGUCCUAUGUUGCCAGCGGGUCAUGCCGGGGACUCAUGGGAGACUGCCGGGGUCAACUCGGAGGAAGUGGGGAUGACGUCAAGUCAUCAUGGCCCUUAUGGGCAGGGCUACACACGUACUACAAUGGCCGGUACAAAGGGCUGCGAUACCGCGAGGUGGAGCGAAUCCCAGAAAGCCGGUCUCAGUUCGGAUUGGGGUCUGCAACUCGACCCCAUGAAGUCGGAGUCGCUAGUAAUCGCAGAUCAGCAACGCUGCGGUGAAUACGUUCCCGGGCCUU